rnacentral:rRNA from 1 species
AGAGUUUGAUCCUGGCUCAGAAUGAACGCUGGCGGCGUGCUUAACACAUGCAAGUCGAACGGGAAAGGGCUUCGGCCCGAGUACAGUGGCAAACGGGUGAGUAAUACAUAAGAAUCUGCCAUUCUGUGAAGGAUACCCAUGAGAAAUUGUGGUUAAUACUGCAUAAGUCCUAACGGAGAAAGACGGCCUCUUUGCUGUCGCAGAAUGAUGAGCUUAUGUCCUAUCAGCUAGUUGGUGAGGUAAAAGCUCACCAAGGCAAUGACAGGUAGCCGGCCUGAGAGGGUGUACGGCCACACUGGGACUGAGACACGGCCCAGACUCCUACGGGAGGCAGCAGUGGGGAAUAUUGCGCAAUGGGCGAAAGCCUGACGCAGCGACGCCGCGUGGAGGAAGAAGGUUUUCGGAUUGUAAACUCCUGUUAAGUGGGAAGAAAGACUCAGUGCUAAUAACGCUGAGGGAUGACGGUACCACUAGAGAAAGCCCCGGCUAACUUCGUGCCAGCAGCCGCGGUAAUACGAAGGGGGCGAGCGUUAUUCGGAAUUACUGGGCGUAAAGGACGCGUAGGCGGUCUAUUAAGUCAGCUGUUAAAUUCCAGGGCCUAACCCUGGGUAUGCAGAUGAUACUGAUUGGACUAGAGUAUGGAAGAGAGGGGUGGAAUUCUCGGAGUAGCGGUAAAAUGCGUAGAUCUCGAGAGGAACACCGAUGGCGAAGGCAGNCCCUUGGUCCAAUACUGACGCUUANGCGUGAAAGCGUGGGGAGCAAACANGAUUAG